rnacentral:tRNA from 1 species
UUUAAGCUCCAUAAAUAAAGUAUUUUACUUUUAUUAGAAAU